UCUCCCUCUGCCUGUGUCUCUGCCUCUCUCUCUAUGUCUCUCAUGAAUAAAUAAAUGAAGUCUUUUUUUUUAAAGAUUUUAUUUAUUUAUUCAUGAGAGACCCAGAGAGAGAGAGAGGCAGAGACACAGGCAGAGGGAGA
rnacentral:pre_miRNA from 1 species